rnacentral:rRNA from 1 species
AUACUCCUACGGGAGGCAGCAGUGGGGAAUAUUGGACAAUGGGCGCAAGCCUGAUCCAGCCAUGGCGCGUGAGUGAAAAAGGCCUUCGGGUUGUAAAGCUCUUUCAGAUGUGAAGAUGAUGACGGUAGCAUCAGAAGAAGCCCCGGAUAAUUUCGCGCCAGCAGCCGCGGUAAUAAGAAAGGGGCAAGCGUUGUUCGGAUUUAGUGGGUGUAAAGGGCACGCAGGCGGUCUUGCCAGUCAGGGGUAAAAGCCCGGGGCUCAACCCCGGAACUGCCUAAGAUACCGCAGGACUAGAGACUAGGAGAGGGUGGUGGAAUUCCCAGUGUAGAGGUAAAAUUCGUAGAUAUUGGGAGGAACACCAGAGGAGAAGGCGGCCACCUGGACUAGAUCUGACGCUCAGGUGAGAAAGCGUGGGGAGCAAACAGGAUUAGAUACCCUGGUAGUCCACGCCGUAAACGAUGAGUGCUAGUUGUCGGGACUUCGGUUUCGGUGACGCAGCUAACGCAUUAAGCAU